GGCACACCUAUCCAAGGAAAAAGAGUUGUACCCCUUGAAGAAAACGAAUCAGAUAGGAAUAUGGAGUCAGUGCAGUCCGAGGAGAGAUCUGGUCACUCUGAGCAUGGGACCGAUGUAAAUGAAGAUACUGCUCGAGUAUUAGGAACGAACGCGCCACUCCAGGCAAAUAAAAGGAAAGCUUCGUACUCUGCAGUCCAAGUACGCCAAGCUCUGGCUCUACACGCACAUCGAAACGCG
rnacentral:misc_RNA from 1 species